rnacentral:rRNA from 1 species
UACGUAGGGCGCGAGCGUUGUCCGGAAUUAUUGGGCGUAAAGAGCUCGUAGGCGGUUUGUCGCGUCUGCUGUGAAAACCCGAGGCUCAACCUCGGGCCUGCAGUGGGUACGGGCAGACUAGAGUGCGGUAGGGGAGAUUGGAAUUCCUGGUGUAGCGGUGGAAUGCGCAGAUAUUAGGAGGAACACCAAUGGCGAAGGCAGAUCUCUGGGCCGUAACUGACGCUGAGGAGCGAAAGCAUGGGGAGCGAACAGG